rnacentral:rRNA from 1 species
UACGGGGGGGGCAAGCGUUGUUCGGAAUUACUGGGCGUAAAGGGCUCGUAGGUGGCCAACUAAGUCAGACGUGAAAUCCCUCGGCUUAACCGGGGAACUGCGUCUGAUACUGGUUGGCUUGAGUUUGGGAGAGGGACGCGGAAUUCCAGGUGUAGCGGUGAAAUGCGUAGAUAUCUGGAGGAACACCGGUGGCGAAGGCGGCAUCCUGGACCAUUACUGACACUGAAAAGCGAAAGCCAGGGGAGCAAACGGG